rnacentral:rRNA from 1 species
GAUGAACGCUGGCGGCGUGCCUAAUACAUGCAAGUCGAGCGAACGGACGAGAAGCUUGCUUCUCUGAUGUUAGCGGCGGACGGGUGAGUAACACGUGGAUAACCUACCUAUAAGACUGGGAUAACUUUGGGAAACCGUAGCUAAUACCGGAUAAUAUUUUGAACCGCAUGGUUCAAAAGUGAAAGACGGUCUUGCUGUCACUUAUAGAUGGAUCCGCGCUGCAUUAGCUAGUUGGUAAGGUAACGGCUUACCAAGGCAACGAUGCAUAGCCGACCUGAGAGGGUGAUCGGCCACACUGGAACUGAGACACGGUCCAGACUCCUACGGGAGGCAGCAGUAGGGAAUCUUCCGCAAUGGGCGAAAGCCUGACGGAGCAACGCCGCGUGAGUGAUGAAGGUCUUCGGAUCGUAAAACUCUGUUAUUAGGGAAGAACAUAUGUGUAAGUAACUGUGCACAUCUUGACGGUACCUAAUCAGAAAGCCACGGCUAACUACGUG